rnacentral:rRNA from 1 species
UACGUAGGUGGCAAGCGUUGUCCGGAUUUACUGGGCGUAAAGAGCGCGCAGGCGGUCGUGCAAGUCGCGUGUGAAAGCCCCCGGCUUAACCGAGGAACUGCCUGUCAGACUGGAUGGCUUGAGACCGGGAGAGGUGAGUGGAAUUCCCAGUGUAGCGGUGAAAUGCGUAGAUAUUGGGAGGAACACCAGUGGCGAAGGCGGCUCACUGGACCGGUACUGACGCUGAGGCGCGAAAGCGUGGGGAGCAAACAGG